GAGGAAACACAAAGAUAGAAAAGAAAGACAGACAUAGAUGAAAAGACAAAGGCUCAGAACGAGAAUCACAACUUUGUCUUCUGGGUUCAAACGACCAUCUUUUCUCUCGGAGCGAUUGUUCUUUGGAUUAUAUCACUGCGCUCUGUGUCGACACAUGAUGUGAUUGAAAAGUUCCUUUCACGUCUUUAGUGUAUGUGACCGCCAUCACCAAAGCGUCACCUCUCACUGUUGCUGAAAUGCAGACUAUUUAAUAAGAUCUAGAAUCGUGAGGACAACUGUUGGGACCACUAUGCAGUAGCUCACUGAGGAUAUCCAGCAGCCGCCUGCGAUCCAUCUCCACCUUCAUUCAUAUCUGCAUUUAAGGGAACCUGAAAACUGAGCAGUAUGGAGGUGCUGAGCGGCCCCUGGGCGGAUCUGGCCCUGCUCCUGCGACAGACCAUCAUGCAGACAGACAGAGCGACAGACAGCUUCAUUCCUCUGUGGCUCUUCGCCCUGAUGCUUUUCCUGUCUGUCUCUCUGCUGCUGCUGCAACUGAUAAUCUAUCUCAGCUGGAAACUCAGACAGGUUGAAGAUGAUCAGUCGGGAUUUCUGCAGAACAGAAGCGCCAUCAACAGGCAGAUGUACAGAACUACAAACCUGAGGAACAGGAGCGCUGGCUCCCACUCACACACCUGACCGGACAGACUCUUCUGGAGAUAUGGACAUAUCACUACAUUUCAGUAAUAAACCUGACUGAACUGCCUUAAACAGUACGGAAGCUGAAGCCUGUGUAGAAGUCAGAUGUGUGGAAACGUCUUGGAAAACCAAACUCACUGUCCUGGAGUAAAAACUCAGACUUACAAGUUCUAAAUCACAUCAGCCAAUGUAAUGAGUGAACGAGAGAGGUCCAAUGAGAGUAUAACAAUCCUUUAUUCAAACAGUGUUACACGGGGGAGGAGUGGCUGUGUGGGGAGACACAAGACAGUUAAGCUGCUAGAUAGAAAAACCCUACCAGUGAUCAUUGGUUGUGCUACGGGAGAGCAAUGAGGGAGCGGGCUGCUUUUCCAAAAUCUGUUUCUUUAUAAAGUUUUGUUGAAAGUGAGUUUUUACUUGGUUAUAAAUACAAAAUGAUGCUGGUUUUACUUUAUAUUAUCGCAUUUGUCCAAACUGUUCAAUAAAGCCUGAGAUUGAAUGUAGAGAAUAGAAGCCAAUUAUAAAACACGUGUUCCAUCUGACCACAAUGUCGCUCCAUAAUGUUGAGCUCCCUGACCGUUUAAAAAUCAGCUGGCGUAGAAUCAUGUUUCUUAUCCAUGAGUUCCAUUAUGGAGUUGCCGUGGUAACUACUGUCUUAUGCAGCUUUUUUUUCCAACAUUAAAAUUACUCAUUCAUU